UGAAGGGUAGUGUAACAUUUACUUUGCACACAUAAAUUUGAAUUAUGUAGUGGAAAUAGCCAUUCCACCUUCAA
rnacentral:tRNA from 1 species